GACGAACGCUGGCGGCGUGCUUAACACAUGCAGGUCGAACGGAAAGGCCCUGCUUUUGUGGGGUGCUCGAGUGGCGAACGGGUGAGUAACACGUGAGUAACCUGCCCUUGACUUUGGGAUAACUUCAGGAAACUGGGGCUAAUACAGGAUAGGAGCUCCUGCUGCAUGGGGGUGGUUGGAACGUUUCGGCGGUUGGGGAUGGACUCGCGGCUUAUCAGCUUGUUGGUGGGGGAGUGGCUUACCAAGGCUUUGACGGGUAGCCGGCCUGAGAGGGUGACCGGCCUCCAUGGGCCUGAGAUACGCACCAGACUCCAACGGGAGGCAGCAGUGGGGAAUAUUGCCCAAUGGGCGGGCGCCUGAUGAAGCGACCCCGCGUGCGUGAUGCCGGCCUUCUGGUUGUAAACCGCUUUCGCCUGUGACGAAGCGUGAGUGACGGUAAUGGGUAAAGAAGCACCGGCUAACUACGUG
rnacentral:rRNA from 1 species